UGGUCAACUGAAGCUGAUAACUCC
rnacentral:siRNA from 1 species